rnacentral:misc_RNA from 1 species
GAUGAAGAACGUAGCGAAAUGCGAUAAGUAAUGUCAAUUGCAGAAUUCAGUGAAUCAUCGAAUCUUUGAACGCACAUUGCGCCCGCCAGUAUUCUGGCGGGCAUGCCUGUCUGAGCGUCAUUUCAACCCUCAUGCCCCUAGGGCGUGGUGUUGGGGAUCGGCCAAAGCCCGCGAGGGACGGCCGGCCCCUAAAUCUAGUGGCGGACCCGUCGUGGCCUCCUCUGCGAAGUAGUGAUAUUCCGCAUCGGAGAGCGAUGAGCCCCUGCCGUUAAACCCCCAACUUUCCAAGGUUGACCUCAGAUCAGGUAGGAAUACCCGCUGAACUUAAGCAUAUCAAUAAGCGGAGGA